GAUGAAGAACGUAGCGAAAUGCGAUACGUAAUGUGAAUUGCAGAAUUCAGUGAAUCAUCGAAUCUUUGAACGCAUCUUGCGCUCCUUGGUAUUCUGAGGAGCAUGCCUGUUUGAGUGUCAUUAAAUUCUCAACUACACUGACUUUGAAUUGGUGUGGCUUGGAUUUGGGGGGAAAAUUGUUGUGGGCUUUUUGUAUAGUCUGCUCCCCUGAAAUUGAUUAGCGGUACCUUUGUGGAACUGUCUACAGGUGUGAUAAUUAUCUACAUCUUAGACAUCUGCUGGAAUGCUGCUUUCUAAACCUUACUUGUAUUGACAAUCUUGACCUCAAAUCAGGUAGGACUACCCGCUGAACUUAAGCAUAUCAAUAAGCGGAGGA
rnacentral:misc_RNA from 1 species